AGUUAGCACGUUCUCCCUGUGUCUGCGAGUGGUUCCUCAAGGUGCCAUGGAGUGAUAAAGCUUGAAAGCACGCCCUUCAAUCCAACUCGUCUAUACCGACCAUGAUGCCCAUUUGCCUGCAUGGAGCUCUUAUUCCUCUAUACCAUUCCUAUCCAUGUACCUGGUCAAGUGUUCUUUAAAUGUUGCUAUAAACAUGCAUCAACUAUCUCAUCCGUCAACAUGUUCCACAUAUCUACCACCCUCGACAUGAAGAACCUGCCUCACGAAUUCCUAUUAAAUCUUGCCCAUUUCAUCUUAACCCUAUGCCCUCUGAUUUUUGAUUCCCCCACCCUGGGUAAAAGACUCUGUCUGAUCACCCU